AGAUUCCAGCAACCGUUUGAGAAAUCAAACUGCUUAGUCUUUCCCUGGGAAAACAAGACAACAUAAUAAAUCAAGAGAAGACCAUGAAGAAGUGGAAUUGAGGAGACAUGGGGGAGAGGACCGUGAAGAAGUGGAAUUGAGGAGACAUGGGGGAGAGGACCGUGAAGAAGUGGAAUUGAGGAGACAUGAGGGAGAGGACCGUGAAGAAGUUGAAUUGAGGAGACAUGAGGGAGAGGACCGUGAAGAAGUGGAAUUGAGGAGACAUGGGGGAGAGGACCGUGAAGAAGUGGAAUUGAUGAGUCAUGGGGGAGAGGACCGUGAAGAAGUGGAAUUGAGGAGACAUGAGGGAGAGGACCGUGAAGAAGUUGUAUUGAGGAGACAUGAGGGAGAGGACCAUGAAGAAGUGGAAUUGAGGAGACAUGAGGGAGAGGACCAUGAAGAAGUGGAAUUGAGGAGACAUGAGGGAGAGGACCAGGAAGAAGUUGAAUUGAGGAGACAUGAGGGAGAGGACCAUGAAGAAGUGGAAUUGAGGAGACAUGAGGGAGAGGACUCAGAGGACCGUGAAGAAGUGGAAUUGAAGAGACAUGAGGGAGAGGAAGAGGACCUUGAAUAAGUGGAAUUGAGGAGACAUGAGAGAGAGGACCAUGAAGAAGUUGAAUUGAGAAGACAGGAGGAGGAGGAAGAGGACCUUCAAGAAGUUGAAUUGAGGAGACAGGAGGGAGAGGACCAUGAAAAAGUUGAAUUGAGGAGACAGGAGGAGGAGGGAGAGGACCUUGAAGAAAGCAUCCUGUGCUAUGAUGCAGCUGUUGGGGAUCCGCAGGUGCAGACUACUGGACAUGGUCGACUUCCCCCCAUUGGUCAUCCUGGAGACAUGACAAGGCAAGACUGGCAGAAUCACUCAGGUAGAACCCAACACUGAGGUCUACCUGGCCAAGCAGCGAGGUGCACAUCUAGUGAUGGAGGAGACCGAAGCGCACCCGUAUGAGUGGGAGGCCCCGACCUACCAACAGCCGAAGCCGUGGGAGCCGAGAUGCCGCUUAAGAGGUGUUCUGUUGGAGGGUUGUUGGAGUAUAACCCACAAUGGAGCCAAUGACAUGCUGGUGGUUAAUAGGUUGUGGGAGAAUGAAAAUUUAAAUAUUGCACUCAGAACCACAUAAAAUGAUGAAAGUUGCAACAAAAAGGUCUUCCCCCUAAAAAACAACUAAACCCCCCCCUUUUCCAAGCUCCACUUGCAAAUCGCCCCUCCACUGCGUCGCUUCCCUUCACUUAGUGAUCCAUUGUUUCAUCGCCCCCAACCAACGCGUUCAAAGGACCAUGGCCAUUUGAGACUGAAAAGCCCUAUACGGAUUGAUCUUGCAGUGCAUGCUUUCAGCAGGAUGCACAGCCAACAACUAUGGUUUGCAUGUUCUGCCGAAGGACCCCAUCAUGCGGAGAUAGGUGGUUGGAGUUCGUUGGUCCCCAGUGGUGGGGAGUAUACCGGUAGCUAGACCAUAGACUGCUGGUUAUGUAGCUGGUUAUGUACAGUGCCUUCAGAAAGUAUUCACACCCAUUGACUAUUUCCAUAUUUGAUAUGUUACAGCCCGAAUUUCUAAUUGAUUAAAUUGAGCUUUGUUGUCACUGGCCAACACACACAAUACCCCAUAAUGUCAAAGUCAAAGAAUGUUUUUCGAAAAGUUUACAAAACCUGAAAUGUCUUGAGUCAAUAAGUGUUCGACCGCUGUUAUUGGCAAGCCUAAAUAAGUUAGGAGUAAAAAUGUGCUUAACAAGUCACAUAAUAAGUUGCAUGGACUCAUAGGGUAGCAUGGUUUUUGAAUGACUACCUCAUCUCUGUACCCUACACAUACAAUUAUCUCUAAAGGUACCCCAGUCAAGCAGUGAAUUUCAAACAAAGAUUACACCACAAAUACCUGGGAGGUUUUCCAAUACAUCACUUUAGCUAUAAUAUAUAUAUAUAUAUAUAUAUAUAUAUACACACAGUUGAAGUUAGAAGUUUACAUACACUUAGGUUGGAGUCAUUCAAACUUGUUUUUCAACCACUCCACAAACUUAUUGUUAAACAAACUGCAGCUUUUGCAAGUUGGUUAGGACAUCUACUUUGUGCAUGACACAAGUAAUUUUUCCAACAAUUGUUUACAGACAGAUUAUUACUGAUGGCAUCAAAUAGAUGGCAUCAUGAAGCAGGAAAAUGUUGUGGAUAUAUUGAUGCAACAUCUCAAUACAUCAGUCAGAAGUUAAAGCUUGGUCGCAAAUGGGUCUUUCAAAUGGACAAUGACCCCAAGCAAACUUCCAAAGUUGUGGCAAAAUGGCUUAAGGACAACAAAGUCAAGGUAUUGGAGUGGCCAACACAAAGCCCUGACCUCAAACCUAUAAAACAUUUAUGGGCAGAACUGAAAAAGCAUGUGCAAGCAUGGAGGCCUUCAAAACCUUUUUUAUGGCGGUUUUGGAGCAGUGGCUUCUUCCUUGCUGUGCGGCCGUUCAGAUUAUGUCGAUAUAGGACUCGUUUUACUGUGGAUAUAGAUACUUGUGUACCCGUUUCCUCCAGCAUCUUCACAAGGUCCUUUGCUGAUUUGCACUUUUUGCACCAAAGUACGUUCAUCUUUAGGAGACAGAAUGCAUCUCCUUCUUGAGCGGUAUGAUGGCUGGGCGGCCCCAUGGUGUUUAAACUUGCGUACUAUUGUUUGUAUUGAUGAACGUGGUACCUUCGGGUGUUUGGAAAUUGCUCCCAAGGAUGAACCAGACUUGAGGAGGUCUACAAUUUUUUUUCUGAGGUCUUGGCUGAUUUCUUUUGAUUUUCCCAUGAUGUCAAGCAAAGAGGCACUGAGUUUUAAGGUAGGCCUUGAAAUACUUCCACAGGUGCACCUCCAAUUGACUCAAACGAUGUCAAUUAGCCUAUCAGAAGCUUCUAAACCCAUGACAUCAUUUGGGAGAAUUUUCCGAGCUGUUUAAAAGGCAUAGUCAACUUAUGUAUGUAUGUAAACUUCUGACCCACUGGAAUUGUGAUACAGUGAAUUAUAAGUGAAAUAAUCUGUCUGUAAACAAUGGUUGGGAAAAUGACUUGUGUCAUGCAAAGUAGAUGUCUUAACAGACUUGCGAAAACUAUAGUUUGUUAACAAGAAAUUUGUGGAGUGGUUGAAAAACAAGUUUUAAUGACGCCAACCAAAGUGUAUGUAAACUUCCGACUUCAACUGUAGCUUGAUGCUACCCUCAACAGGGAACUAGCUUCCUUUCACUGUUGUAACGCAACACACACACAGUUUGGAUGUGGAAACAGAAUUCACCGCUCAAUUUCAAGACUCAUAGCAAAGGGUCUGAUUACUUAUGUUAUUUACAUGUUUUUUUAAUCUUUAAUACAUUUGUGAAUAUUUCAUUAUGGGGUAUUAUGUGUAGAUUGGCAUAUGGUUCUGCUGUUUUGGGGGAUUGGUAUAGUUUACCACACUCACUCCUUGUAGAUUGUUAUAUAUUGACACUUUCUUAGGCAGUGAGCUAACAUGAAG